GAAACAGAGCAGGAAAGAGAAGAGACUGUCCUUCAAAUGGGGUUUCAUUAUCUUAGUGAGCAAUGCAAGCAAGCAUGCCAUUUAAAUGAUAAACAAACAUGAGCUUCAUUCCUUAAGUGCUCUUUGUACAAUAACCAUCCAUCCAUCCUUUAUUGUAUUUUAAUUUUAAAAAACUUUGUACAAUAAUUUGUACAGAUUGUUUUAUCUCUAUGCUGAGUUUUGCCAUUUUCAAUUAGGCUGUGCUAAAUGUUUGUCUAUUGUAAUAUUUCAAUGUGGUGAGACUUAUUUCUAAGUAAAUAUGAAUAGGGUCACAUAGGCUGGAAACAAAGAUAGAGCAGGGAGAAAUAUUUUUCUCACAUCUUCCUAAUAUUAAUCUUUCUUACAGGCAUUGUUUCCCCUACCUACUGCUGCUUCUUCACCUUCCUGCCUCCAAAGUGUUUUAAUGGAAUCUCAGCUGGAUGGAUCUCCAGCUGUUCUCAUGCUACAAGGGAAAAUGACACCAUGGAUGUACAAAAUACAGACUUAAAUGGCUUAAAACUCUGGGAGUCUUCAAUUCCAGUGUAGAUCCCAAGUCUAUAGACUUUGCCUCUUCACAUCUGUUCAGCAGGGCGAGUUCCAGUACAUCCAUUUCUCGGGCAACUCUCAUCCCUCUUCAGACAUAUCCAAGUUGUUGCAUUUCUUUAGAAAACCAGGCAACUGAUUUCAAGAGUGAUACCCUUCUGACCAACCUGCCUGGAAUCCUGCCUGAAUCAUAUUUUCAUCCAUAUGGAUACUAGUCCUAUACAGAAAUGUUAUGGUCUCUGUGGAAAAAGAUGGAUCUUGGGCAGGAAAAGCUGUUUUCAAUGCAAAACAACUAUGGUUAAGAGCCAUUGGAUAGAAUAUUGCUUUCACAUGCACUGUAAGGAACAUUGGUACCAUCAUACAUUCAGUAGCUAUGCUUUGCUGUAAUCUGUGUUCUAAAAUAUCUUGGGUCUUAGGCUGAGAGAAACUAAUAAUAAAAAUAAUAAAUAUAUGACAAAACCGUAUUUGUGUAAAAGCUGGUGAACUAUGAAUAUGACUUUUUAAAAAUGAAUGAAUGCUGCCAUAACAUCUUCAAGGAAAACAUCUCAUCAGCAUCAAGUUCUAGAAGGAAAAGGUCACUUCUAACACUAUAGAAAUAGUGUGUAAUAUCACAGCAAUGGUAAUAAUGACAUUAAAAACUGGAGAGUUUUCACAAAUAACUUGAAAUAUGAUUCACCACCGUAUGAUGAAAAGAACAUCGGCUACGAGAGGAGCGCUUGAGGUGGCAGCUGAAACAUUCAUUACAAAUAAGUUUCUUUGUGAUGUAAAAUGCACUUUGUAUUAAUGUUGUCUUGCUUUGCCUCGGGAAACGGCAUAACCACAAAAGGCACAGAAGAAAUGUUUUUGGACAAAUCAUUCAGAAAUUAAUUCUGUGGGAAUGUUUGUAAACUGACAAGCAAGUAGACUUUGACUUAUGAUGAUACUGUGAAUGAGUUUUUUAAAUCAACCUGUCAUCAACAGUCUAAUUUUGGUCUUGCAAACUCAGGACUGUAACUUUCUCGAUUUUAAGUCUAUCAGUAAAGUAGCAUUCUUUGUUUCCUAGUGCCUUUGGUCUUCCAUUAUUGACAGCUACCAUUAAUAUCUUUUCUAGUGAGUAAUGUCUUCUUAUAAUAUGUCCAAAAUACAAUGGUCUCCAUCUACUCCUCCGCAAAAGCCACAAGUAGCUAUUUGGCAAAUUUAGUCUGACUCCUCCACAAAAACCUAAAUAGGAGUCCUUGCCAGCAGCACUACUGUUACCACCAUAGUCCCUUAUCUCACACAAGCACACAAUCUGACGGCCAUGGAGAGGUAAUGUCAUGGAGAGGUAAGGCCAUGAUGGGACCAUGGGAAUAAAGGUACCCACAUAUAAUCUAUUAUCAUGGGCCCUUUUUGGACUAAGGGAUCAAUAUGGCUAUUUGGAGGGCCUCAAUCUUUGUUCUGAUAGCAGCUUAUCUGUACAAUUUUCAUCGACUGAAUAAUCUGUUUACAGUCUUAUAACUGCUUAUGGACCAACUCUUGCAAAAGCUGAAUUACCCAGUAUUGACCCUGCUAAGUAACUCAUGUGAAGCUUGCCUCCACACAAGUCAUCCUACACCCAUACGUGCGAUGCUGUGAAUGUGUUUAGGCUUUUUGUCCAUGCUCGAGAACCAGAUUUAUCUUUAGAAAAUAGCACCUCAUAAAGCCAACAAUAAAGUAGAUAGAGAUAGUCCUUUGCAAAUCCAUGAUUUCUGAUAAUACAAUUGAAUUAAAAAAGCAUUUUCAACAUGAAGGAUUUAAACAACUAUGGAGACUCUAUAGAGUUGUAACGGGUCAUGAUGAUAAGAUUUGCAAAUAUUGUUGUUUAAAUUCCCAGU